rnacentral:lncRNA from 1 species
GGGACUCGGCCGGCAUCCACAGAAGAUCCUCAGUCAUAGUUAACAAAAUGGAAAAAAUUAGCUGUGUUUUUAAGAUUCCAGUGGUGGCCAUCAACUGCUCAGGAAAGCAGCCCAGAAUCACUUCACAACAGGUUUCCAAAGGAUCAUCAUUCAUCAGCACAGAAGGGUGGGAAAGAGAAGGCUGUUCAAAUUCUGAAAAGCCAGAGCUGCAAAGGAGGUCAAAGAUGCAGUGCAGUUGGCCCACUCAGUAGAGUUUCACUAGUGGUUCUGAUGUGGACUGAAGAUUACACGCUGGAUUGAAGUGGCCGGUCUGGAGCAGCUGUAGUUCAUCAUUCUUGCUGAUUGUGGACGAGUAAGAGCCCGUGUUGGCCCCGAUCGGCGAUCGCUGGCCAAAGCCCACCACCAGUUUGGUGAUAGGCGUUGGCUGUGAUAUCUAGUGUCGCCUAUGUGUGAAAAGGACAAGUUGAUAACAAAACCUGUUGCGCCAUGUUAUUAACCCGCGCCCGGGUGGCCCUCAGCCAACUUGGGGGGGGGGGGGAGGUGUAUUCGGCCACACCAGGUUAUCUUGGAAUGUAGCAAAGCUGGAAAGACGCAGUAAAAUCAAUCUAUAGACCGCUAUUUUUCUUCAGAAUCAUACAGGUCAUUUUUGAUCAGGUCAUCGCUGAGGUCACUGGAGGUCACCAAAAGUAAAAUAAUGACGAAUUUUGGCCCCCGAUUUUGACAACUUCACAAAUUGGUUCAUAAUUCGGGAACCAAAGAAGCUACAGCGCCGCGGAAAAGCGAAUUCGAUAGCUCUUUCGAAAAUCUUUCAGGUUAUCAGAUUUGAGCUAAGGUCAACUAGGGUUAAGCCUCCAAAGGGCAAAAACUGAACAAUCGGCUUGCUUCGGAAGUCGUCUUUUCUUUAAUUUUUUUUUUUAAACUGAUACCAACCUUUUAUUACGUUGAUUUUACCGGCACUGCGUUUCUCUCGUCUUCUUGGCCUAACAAGGUCAGCUUAAUAAAUUUGACCUCAGGUCAAUGUCGCAGAAAAUGCCAUUUUGCAUGUCAUUGAUUCGUUACAUUGAAAUUGAGAUUAACAUCAGUAGCGGCGGAACACCUUCAAUUAAGGGGGCAUUGCCGACUUUUGGUCUCAUUCUUUCCAUGCAACGGCCAUAGGGCUAAUGUUAAAAUGCCAAAAUCAAAGGGGGCACGGUGCCUCGGUGCCCUCGGCCUGUUCCGCCGCCUAUGAUUAUGAUGCUUUUAGCGCUCUGGCCACGUUCCAUCUAAAAUCGAUGUACAAAAAUAAACUGUUGGGAGGCGUUACAUGACCUGAGAUGACCUCAGGAGCAUACGAUAGAUCGCGAUGUUUGAGUGCUUUUGUUUCAAAAGCAGAACAUUUCGAUUUCGAGUUCCUCAUACUGACUGAAACUGGAGACGUCGCAAAGUUGACCUGACCCUAGGUCACCACCGAAUACCGAUAUCAAAAUUAAAGAUAUUCAAGAUGUUGGUACUGAUUCUCUCAUGCAAUAGCUCGAGUUUCAAACUUCUACUUCAUGGUGACCUGACCUGACCUUAGGUGACAUGGGGUUACUUUUUUCACAAUUGAUGCGAAUCGAUGCAUUAUACAUAAGCUAUACUAAGUUUCGUGUCGUUUUAUCUAUGCAAGCACAAAAUUGUCAGGUGUGGCCAAAAACGCCCCCACGGCCCACCCACCUGGGGAACGUUAAAGCAGUGAUGUAUUUUUUUCGGUGUAUUCCACGAUGCAUCGAUCGCUGUACUUGAUAAUGCAUUAUUUAUUGCUGCGUGUGUACGCUUUUCCUCUGUUCAGUGUGAUCUGUGAUAGGAAAACUACCGAUAUAUCUCCACGCGCAUGACUGAAAGAGCUGGCGUGAUCUAUAAUAUUGGGUGUCUGUUUUUUGUUUGGCAUUUUAUAAAUAAUGAGUCAGCUGUGA